rnacentral:rRNA from 1 species
GGCCCCAGAUUUCUUACGGGGAGGCAGCCAGUAGGGAAUUCUUCCGGCAAUGGACGAAAGUUUGACGGAGCAACGCCGCGUGAGUGAUGAAGGUUUUCGGAUCGUAAAGCUUCGUUGUUAGGGAAGAACAAGUGCGAGAGUAACUGCUCGCACCUUGACGGUACCUAACCAGAAAGCCACGGCUAACUACGUGCCAGCAGCCGCGGUAAUACGUAGGUGGCAAGCGUUGUCCGGAAUUAUUGGGCGUAAAGGGCUCGCAGGCGGUUUCUUAAGUCUGAUGUGAAAGCCCCCGGCUCAACCGGGGAGGGUCAUUGGAAACUGGGAAACUUGAGUGCAGAAGAGGAGAGUGGAAUUCCACGUGUAGCGGUGAAAUGCGUAGAGAUGUGGAGGAACACCAGUGGCGAAGGCGACUCUCUGGUCUGUAACUGACGCUGAGGAGCGAAAGCGUGGGGAGCGAACAGGAUUAGAUACCCUGGUAGUCCACGCCGUAAACGAUGAGUGCUAAGUGUUAGGGGGUUUCCGCCCCUUAGUGCUGCAGCUAACGCAUUAAGCACUCCGCCUGGGGAGUACGGUCGCAAGACUGAAACUCAAAGGAAUUGACGGGGGCCCGCACAAGCGGUGGAGCAUGUGGUUUAAUUCGAAGCAACGCGAAGAACCUUACCAGGUCUUGACAUCCUCUGACAACCCUAGAGAUAGGGCUUUCCCUUCGGGGACAGAGUGACAGGUGGUGCAUGGUUGUCGUCAGCUCGUGUCGUGAGAUGUUGGGUUAAGUCCCGCAACGAGCGCAACCCUUGAUCUUAGUUGCCAGCAUUCAGUUGGGCACUCUAAGGUGACUGCCGGUGACAAACCGGAGGAAGGUGGGGAUGACGUCAAAUCAUCAUGCCCCUUAUGACCUGGGCUACACACGUGCUACAAUGGACAGAACAAAGGGCUGCAAGACCGCAAGGUUUAGCCAAUCCCAUAAAUCUGUUCUCAGUUCGGAUCGCAGUCUGCAACUCGACUGCGUGAAGCUGGAAUCGCUAGUAAUCGCGGAUCAGCAUGCCGCGGUGAAUACGUUCCCGGGCCUUGUACACACCGCCCGUCACACCACGAGAGUUUGCAACACCCGAAGUCGGUGAGGUAACCUUUAUGGAGCCAGCCGCCGA